rnacentral:misc_RNA from 1 species
AACGCACAUUGCGCCCCCUGGUAUUCCGGGGGGCAUGCCUGUUCGAGCGUCAUUACAACCCUCAAGCUAUGCUUGGUAUUAGGCCUCGCCGCUCACCCGGCGGGCCUUAAAAUCAGUGGCGGUGCCGUCGAGGCCCUGAGCGUAGUAAAAUUCCUCGCUAUAGGGACCCGGCGGAUGCUGGCCAUCAACCCCCAACUUUCUAAGUUUGACCUCGGAUCAGGUAGGGAUACCCGCUGAACUUAA